UACGGAGGGAGCUAGCGUUGUUCGGAAUUACUGGGCGUAAAGCGCGCGUAGGCGGUCUUGUAAGUUAGAGGUGAAAGCCCGGAGCUCAACUCCGGAACUGCCUUUAAAACUACAAGACUAGAAUCUUGGAGAGGUGAGUGGAAUUCCGAGUGUAGAGGUGAAAUUCGUAGAUAUUCGGAAGAACACCAGUGGCGAAGGCGACUCACUGGACAAGUAUUGACGCUGAGGUGCGAAAGCGUGGGGAGCAAACAGG
rnacentral:rRNA from 1 species